rnacentral:rRNA from 1 species
UACAGAGGUCUCAAGCGUUGUUCGGAUUCAUUGGGUGUAAAGGGCGCGUAGGCUGCGGGGCAAGUCGGGUGUGAAAUCUCAGAGCUCAACUCUGAAACUGCACUCGAUACUGCUUUGCUUGAGGACUGGAGAGGAGAUUGGAAUUCACGGUGUAGCAGUGAAAUGCGUAGAUAUCGUGAGGAAGACCAGUGGCGGAGGCGGAUCUCUGGACAGUUCCUGACGCUGAGGCGCGAAGGCCAGGGGAGCAAACGGG